GUGGGGAAUAUUGGACAAUGGGCGAAAGCCUGAUCCAGCCAUGCCGCGUGUGUGAAGAAGGUCUUCGGAUUGUAAAGCACUUUAAGUUGGGAGGAAGGGCAGUAAGUUAAUACCUUGCUGUUUUGACGUUACCGACAGAAUAAGCACCGGCUAACUUCGUGCCAGCAGCCGCGGUAAUACGAAGGGUGCAAGCGUUAAUCGGAAUUACUGGGCGUAAAGCGCGCGUAGGUGGUUUUGUAAGUUGGAGGUGAAAUCCCCGGGCUCAACCUGGGAACUGCCCCCAAAACUGCAUGACUAGAGUACGGUAGAGGGUAGUGGAAUUUCCUGUGUAGCGGUGAAAUGCGUAGAUAUAGGAAGGAACACCAGUGGCGAAGGCGACUACCUGGACUGAUACUGACACUGAGAUGCGAAAGCGUGGGGAGCAAACAGGAUUAGAUACCCGAGUAGUCC
rnacentral:rRNA from 1 species